UACGUAGGGGGCAAGCGUUGUCCGGAUUUAUUGGGCGUAAAGAGCGUGUAGGCGGUUAGGUAGGUCCGUUGUGAAAACUCGAGGCUCAACCUCGAGACGCCGAUGGAAACCAUCUGACUAGAGUCCGGAAGAGGAGAGUGGAAUUCCCGGUGUAGCGGUGAAAUGCGCAGAUAUCGGGAAGAACACCCGUGGCGAAGGCGGCUCUCUGGGACGGUACUGACGCUCAUGCACGAAAGCGUGGGGAGCAAACAGG
rnacentral:rRNA from 1 species